rnacentral:tRNA from 1 species
GCUAAGGUGGUUCAGUGGUAGAAUUCUCGCCUCCCGUGUGGGUGACCCGGUUCGAUUCCCAGCCGAGGCA